UACAGAGGGUGCAAGCGUUGUCCGGAAUCAUUGGGCGUAAAGAGCGUGUAGGCGGCCCGGUAAGUCCGCUGUGAAAGUCGGGGGCUCAACCCUCGAAUGCCGGUGGAUACUGUCGGGCUAGAGUGCGGAAGAGGCGAGUGGAAUUCCUGGUGUAGCGGUGAAAUGCGCAGAUAUCAGGAGGAACACCAAUUGCGAAGGCAGCUCGCUGGGACGUAACUGACGCUGAGACGCGAAAGCGUGGGGAGCAAACAGG
rnacentral:rRNA from 1 species